rnacentral:rRNA from 1 species
CCUACGGGAGGCAGCAGUAGGGAAUAUUGGACAAUGGGGGAAACCCUGAUCCAGCCAUGCCGCGUGAGUGAUGAAGGCCCUAGGGUUGUAAAGCUCUUUCGGCGGGGAAGAUAAUGACGGUACCCGCAUAAGAAGCCCCGGCUAACUCCGUGCCAGCAGCCGCGGUAAU